CGCGGCAGCCCUGCCAGCGGCCCCUGCCGCUCCGCUCCGCAGUGCGCCGCUGCUACUGCUCUCUCCCGCCCCGAAUCGCCGGUACCCGACCGGUCCCGUCCAGCAGCCCUGUGCACCCCCUCCACUGGCACCGUUGUGAACCGGGAGAUUUCCACCCGGCUUCCCACAAUGUUAGGCAGUGUGGCCACUUUGCCUUGCUUCAGGAGGGAGUCCCUUUGCUGCUGAAGGUGGUUGGACACCCUGCCGGGAGGCAGGCGCCGGGCAGGGGAGGAGCUCAGCGAGCCCCAAGCACAGCCUGCAGCCUGAGAUGGUCUUAACAUGAAAAGGUGCUGUGAGGGCGUGGGGCUGCCAUGCCUCU